UCGUUCUUCGCCGAAGGAGCCAUUUACGAUCUCUUGCACAGUGGGAAUUCGAAAAGUUCGGAAAGUGAAACGUACCAACAGCUAGUUAGCAAUAUUCAGCACUGCCAAACCAUUGUAAGCUGCGUGAAUCUCCUACAAGAAAUUCUCAGUCGUGCCACCUCCGUACUCCUCUUCUGCACCACAAUCUGCAUUUGUUUCCAAGUCAUCGCCACUGCUGUUGUGUUGCAGAAGGACAUGGAUAUAGUCGAAUCUCUAAAGAUGCUGAUGGGUUCAUCACUGUACGCAUACCAGGUCGCACUCUUCUGUCUGCUCGGCCAAAGGAUCAUCAAUCAG